ensembl:lncRNA
AUUUCCUGGUGGAGCUCAGGAAGGGAUCUCUUUUAGCAUCCUACAGCUGCUGCCUGGGCUGGCCGAGGUGCAGAUGGGACGUUUACCUUGCUGAAUGAAAACGGGCAUAGUGUGGGGGUUGGAUAAACCAGAGGGUUUCCUGCAGCAGCACUGACUUACACGUUGAGGCAUGAAGCUGCCUUGUGGCACGCGAGGCUUCUAAGCUGCUUCAGUGCUGACGAUCCUGGCUGUGAAGCUGCAAGGCCACGCAGGUCUGCAGAGCCCAUCACCACCCACCACCUUUCAUGCCCAUCAGCACAGAAGCUAUAGAUGCUGGCUUCCUUCUAUGUGUGAGCACGCCUGAGCUGUAGGACACCAUGGGCUCCUGCUGCAGCAUCGUGGAAAGCACUGUUCACCACAUCACAGAGCGAGGGAAUGCGGGUUUUGAUGGUAUUAGAAACUGCCCUGCACCAGAUUCCUCACAUAGCAGAGAGAUCCCAAGGAACUCCAGCCUGCAGUUUGCAUCGCAGGGACUGGAAACUGCCAGAGCCUGGCAGCGAGCAGGCGGAGAGGUGCAGAUGGAUUUUCAACCAUGAUUCAGAUGUCACCUUGUCAAAAUCCCUUUGGACAUUUUGCUUCACUGCCCAGACCCUGUGCUCAUGGGAAGGCAUGCGUCUCAAGCUGCUCUGAGCUGGGUCUGGCAUGAGAGGCAAUGCACGCUGUGCCUGGCACCAGCCAAGCCUGUCUGAUUAUUCAGAGGAGAAAUGGAGAGCAGUGCUGAGUGGUAGUUAUUAAAGCAGGCACCUGUGGAUCCCGCACAGUGUGCCUGAGCUCUGCAAGCCCACACAGGUUUGCACAGUGCCUUGUACCAGCAGGCAAUAUUGGUGUCGUAUCUCGGGUUUGGACAACAUAAUUAUCAGCACACCACACCGCAUGCCUUGGUGUAAUGUGCUGCCAGGGCUGCAUUAGAAAAAGGAAAAGGGGGGGAAUUAAAAAAAGAAGGAGGAAAAAAAAGCCAUGUUUCCAGUGUACAGACAGUAAUAGAGAUGUUUGUAUGGCGGUUGUGACUGGUGUAAUCUUGGUUGUUACACAGAUCUAAGUGGGAUUUGAAACAGUCAAAGAUGCCAAAACAAACGUCAACGAGAUGGAUGGUCUAUUAGGCGCAGCUCAUUUGAGUCACUCGUUGCAGGGAGGAUUCUACCUGUUUUGUGACGAACCAGCAGUGCUGCAGGAGAAGAGAUGGGUACACUCAGCCUUUGGUCCCAGCCUGGGCUGCUGCCAUCCCCCAGUGAGAGGACAUGUGACUGUGGGGACAGCAGUCCCAGCAAAGCAGAUUGACAGUGUCAAGACAUGGAUAUCUUCCAUGCAAAUGCCACGUGCCUGCUUGUCCCUUCUGGAAACAGAAGGCACUUUCUUGUCUCCAGCUAUGGCCUUUCUUUGUGUGACAUUGGACAGUGGAAGCCCUCAUUGCGUGAACUAAUGACUUGCAGAGUGUGUGCUCUCUCAAGGCUAUCUGGUGUUUGUCUGUGAAGGGGAGACAAGCAAAGCUAGUUUCAGGGCCAGCUGGUUUAUAUGCUUUUGCUAAGUCAGUUUGCUGCUGGUGGAACUCUAAUUGACUCAGCUGUGCUCUGGGAAGCUCCGCUGCGAUGGGCAGCAGCCUCUGUACAUCCACCUCUUGCUUGUGCUCCCAUUGCUCUGCUGGAGGGGUUUUCUAUCACGCUCUUUCUACUGGUUUUACUUCUUACCCUGUAAUUACUUAAGUCCAAAAGAGAAAGGAACCAGAACAAGAAACUUGAAUGGAGAGAUAGAUGAAGAACUCCUUUUGUACCAAAGAUCGUUGGGAAUUAAUUUGAUGUCCUCGCCUUGGUGCAGUCCAGACUUCAUUAAAGCAUUUGCGCAACUCCUG